rnacentral:rRNA from 1 species
GACGAACGCUGGCGGCGCGCUUAACACAUGCAAGUCGAGCGAAGCGGCGGCAGGGGGAGUAACACGUGAGUAACCUGCCUUAGACAUUGGGAUAGCCUCGGGAAACCGUGAUUAAUCACAAAUGGUCUAAGAUGGACUCGCGUCCCAUUAGCUAGUUGGUGAGGUAACGGCCCAGCAAGGCGACGAUGGGUAGCCGGCCUGAGAGGGUGAACGGCCACAUUUGAACUGAGAAACGGUCCAAACUCUACGGGAGGCAGCAGUGGGGAAUAUGGCACAAUGGAGGGAACUCUGAUGCAGCGACGCCGCGUGAACGAAGAAGGCUUUCGAGUCGUAAAGUUCUUUUAUAUGGGAAGCGGUACCAUAAGAAAAAGCCCCGGCUAACUACGUGCCAGCAGCCGCGGUAAUAC